GAUGAACGCUAGCGGCAGGCCUAAUACAUGCAAGUCGAACGGGUGGUCGCAAGACCACUCGUGGCGCACGGGUGCGUACGCGUAACCAACCUGCCCCGAUCUGGGGGAUAGCCCGCCGAAAGGCGGAUUAAUACCGCAUAUACCCGCAGCCUGGCAUCAGGCAACGGGGAAAGAUUUAUUGGAUCGGGAUGGGGUUGCGUGACAUUAGCUAGUUGGCGGGGUAAGGGCCCACCAAGGCGACGAUGUCUAGGGGACCUGAGAGGGUGAUCCCCCACACUGGCACUGAGAUACGGGCCAGACUCCUACGGGAGGCAGCAGUAGGGAAUAUUGGGCAAUGGGCGAGAGCCUGACCCAGCCAUGCCGCGUGCCGGAUGAAGGCCUUCUGGGUUGUAAACGGCUUUUCUCAGGGAAGAAAAAGACCUGGCGAGGUACACUGACGGUACCUGAGGAAUAAGCACCGGCUAACUCCGUG
rnacentral:rRNA from 1 species